CCUUCCUCCCUUCCCUCCCUCCCUUUCUCCCUCCCUCCUGGUGGGUCUCCUUGGGGCAACGUGUAGGCUCAACUUGCCUUCCCAGGUGUUUACACAGUUCUUGGUGUUAACAACAGUUGUUCCUGCUUAACAGCUCUUGAAGGAGAAUGUCAUUUGCAGCAGACUAGACACCCUUAGGCAAUCCUGCCUACACCCACAACCUGCCCAUCAUGACCAUUUUUACCCAUGAUAGUUGGCUUGUUGAAACAGGUGUGUGCAUGUAUGGGAAGAGUGUAGUUAUAGGACACCCACAAUUGACUUGAGAGCAGC